UACGAAGGGGGCUAGCGUUACUCGGAAUUACUGGGCGUAAAGGGUGCGCAGGCGGUUUUGUAAGUCAGGCGUGAAAUCCCCGGGCUCAACCUGGGAACUGCAUUUGAGACUGCACGGCUAGAGUGUGGCAGAGGGGGGUAGAAUUCCACGUGUAGCAGUGAAAUGCGUAGAGAUGUGGAGGAAUACCGAUGGCGAAGGCAGCCCCCUGGGCCAAUACUGACGCUCAUGCACGAAAGCGUGGGGAGCAAACAGG
rnacentral:rRNA from 1 species